AGGUCUUUCGAUGAACUUGAAGCAGCCAUGCUUAAAGGCCAGAAAUUGCAGGGUGUCUUAACUGCAAAAGAGGUCUGUGAGGUUCUAACCACGCGUGGAUGGCUAGAUUUGUUUCCUCUCUUCUCAACAGUCAAUGAGAUCAACUCAGGUCGGCUUCCACCAUCAGCCAUAGUUGAAUUCAGCAAUCACAAAUCCAGUUCCAAGCACGGAAAAAGCAAGCUUUAACUGUGCAUCAAUUGUUGAAGGCCAUGGUGACUCAGCUUCAUUCAGCAUAAACUCAGAAGGUUGGUAGCUGUUCUCUUGCAGGCUAAGGAAGCUAAGUCUUAUUUUGAAGUUUUUGUCAAGGCACACUUUUUCUACAAGUAACACAUACAAAUAUACUUACCAGCCUGUUGGUUUAGGGAGUCCCUUUAGGGAGAAGUUACAAAAUGCAGAUUUUACGGUUACCCAUAAUUAAGAAUGUACACUCAAU